GUCUAGGGGGUCUUAAACUAGUGUAUAUUGAUUAGAUAGCAACACAACUGAGCUCUGUAACCAAAUUAUAAUGUAUCACUACUUUCAUUCUUCAACAAGAUAACUUCAAGAUUUAAGAUGGCAGAUAACUAAAUCGAUUUUACAAAAUAGUACGCCGUUUUCGAAAAUAACCAGGCUAUAAAGUAUAGACCAUGUUGAGGAUGAGUUGAUGGAAGGAGAGCAGAACUGAGUUGAUGGAAGGAGAGCAGAACUGAUCAUUCAAGUACUAAACAAAGUAACCGGUGGUGAACCUCGUGGCACCCGCCAGAGCUCCGGCAGCCGCCUGCUUAUUUUGA